UACGAAGGGGGCUAGCGUUGUUCGGAAUCACUGGGCGUAAAGUGCACGCAGGCGGAUUGAUAAGUCAGGGGUGAAAUCCCGGGGCUCAACCUCGGAAUUGCCUUUGAUACUGUCUGUCUUGAGUCCGGGAGAGGUGAGUGGAAUUCCUAGUGUAGAGGUGAAAUUCGUAGAUAUUAGGAAGAACACCAGUGGCGAAGGCGGCUCACUGGCCCGGAACUGACGCUCAUGUGCGAAAGCGUGGGGAGCAAACAGG
rnacentral:rRNA from 1 species